rnacentral:piRNA from 1 species
ACCAAGCUUGGAAUUACAAAUGGUUGAUGC